rnacentral:rRNA from 1 species
CCAAUAGCGUAUAUUAAAGUUGUUGCAGUUAAAAAGCUCGUAGUUGAAUUUCGGGGUUAGUAGGUUGGUCAUGCCUCAGGUAUGCACUGGUCUCACUGAUUCCUCCUUCCUGAUGAGCCGUAAUGCCAUUAAUUUGGUGUUGCGAGGAAUCUGGACUGUUACUUUGAAAAAAUUAGAGUGUUUAAAGCAGGCUAACGCUUGAAUACAUUAGCAUGGAAUAAUGGAAUAGGACGUUCGAUCCUAUUUUGUUGGUUUCUAGGAUUGACGUAAUGAUUAAUAGGGAUAGUUGGGGGCAUUAGUAUUCAAUUGUCAGAGGUGAAAUUCUUGGAUUUAUUGAAGACUAACUACUGCGAAAGCAUUUGCCAAGGAUGUUUUCAUUAAUCAAGAACGAAAGUUAGGGGAUCGAAGACGAUCAGAUACCGUCGUAGUCUUAACCAUAAACUAUGCCGACUAGGGAUCGGAUGAUGUUAAUUUUUUAAUGACUCAUUCGGCGCCUUACG